CUAUCAUCAGUAUCUUUGAAAUGUUUUAUUUACUUAUCAUAGUAUGUAUAUUUAUAAAGUAACCUUUAAUAGUAAUUGUGGUUACAACAAGUGUCAUACUUAAUUAUGUUUUUGUUUAAUAGUUCAAAACUUAACCUAAGUUAAGUAAGAUUUUUACUGCAUUGCAUUCUCCUAAUCAGAAGCAACUUUAUCUUGGACGCACAUUGUACGUAAACGCCAGGAGAUAAUGAACGGCUGCUAGUUUUCGGCAGUCUGUGACAGAGAGCUUCGCAAUCCAGCCGGAACAACUCAGAUGUAUGUAUUGUUACGCCGGUAGGAUUAACGCCAUCUAUCGCCGAAUAGUCGAACGAAUAUCGAAACAUCUAGAAUACUCGAGAAUUACAACGCCAUCUAUUGUCAGAUAGCGGGAACUAUGAGUAGAGAAGUGUGGAAUACUGUCGAUGAUUCUAGCGAUGAGGUAUCGGCUAUAAAAGCGUUGUAGGGAUGGCGCGCAGUCAGUCAGUAAUCGAAGCGAAACAGCGAACGGAUCACCUGAAGCGAAGCGGAACAAGCGGAUUGAGAGUUUUAAAGUGUUUGUUGAGUGUUUAAGUG